UCGUAAAUAUUUUUAUUAUUUUUAGAUUCGUAUGAUCAACAUGCUGAAAACUGGAACCCUUCUCGUUUUUGCUUUAGUGUGCAUCACUUAUGCAAGUGCAUUAGGAAACAUUUUGCAAUGCCAAGAUGUAGCACAGUUUAGUCCAUGCCCAGACGUGCUUAAGAAAACGAUUUGGACAUACAGAAAUAGUAGAGGUGAAUGCAAGCGAAAAACAGGUUGUUAUGCGGCGGGCAAGAACGUCUUUACAACAGAAUUGGCCUGCAAAAUUGGUUGUGGUCUUAAUUAAGGCAAUAUAAGUUGAAAUCAUCUGAAGAAUAUACGUUAAAAACAUCCAUAUACUUUUUAAAGCAAUUUCCGAAAUAUCUUCAAUGCAGCAUGUUUAUUUAUCUGUCAAUAAGACACUUGAUUUAACAUUUUUUGAGGUCAAGUUUACAAAUGUCUGCUUUCAACUAGUUGUUUCUCUUCAAUUAUUAUGAAAGUGGUAAUUUUUAUUGCAAUAAAAGAGUGCAAUUCUG